rnacentral:misc_RNA from 1 species
GAUGAAGAACGUAGCGAAAUGCGAUAAGUAAUGUGAAUUGCAGAAUUCAGUGAAUCAUCGAAUCUUUGAACGCACAUUGCGCCCGCCAGUAUUCUGGCGGGCAUGCCUGUCUGAGCGUCAUUUCAACCCUCAUGCCCCUAGGGCGUGGUGUUGGGGAUCGGCCAAAGCCCGCGAGGGACGGCCGGCCCCUAAAUCUAGUGGCGGACCCGUCGUGGCCUCCUCCGCGAAGUAGUGAUAUUCCGCAUCGGAGAGCGAUGAGCCCCUGCCGUUAAACCCCCAACUUUCCAAGGUUGACCUCAGAUCAGGUAGGAAUACCCGCUGAACUUAAGCAUAUCAAUAAGCGGAGGA